rnacentral:snRNA from 1 species
AGUUUGCCAUUUCGAGCAUGU